rnacentral:rRNA from 1 species
GAUGAACGCUGGCGGCGUGCCUAAUACAUGCAAGUCGAGCGAACGGACGAGAAGCUUGCUUCUCUGAUGUUAGCGGCGGACGGGUGAGUAACACGUGGAUAACCUACCUAUAAGACUGGGAUAACUUCGGGAAACCGGAGCUAAUACCGGAUAAUAUUUUGAACCGCAUGGUUCAAAAGUGAAAGACGGUCUUGCUGUCACUUAUAGAUGGAUCCGCGCCGCAUUAGCUAGUUGGUAAGGUAACGGCUUACCAAGGCAACGAUGCAUAGCCGACCUGAGAGGGUGGUCGGCCACACUGGAACUGAGACACGGUCCAGACUCCUACGGGAGGCAGCAGUAGGGAAUCUUCCGCAAUGGGCGAAAGCCUGACGGAGCAACGCCGCGUGAGUGAUGAAGGUCUUCGGAUCGUAAAACUCUGUUAUUAGGGAAGAACAUAUGUGUAAGUAACUGUGCACAUCUUGACGGUACCUAAUCAGAAAGCCACGGCUAACUACGUG